rnacentral:lncRNA from 1 species
GCCCCAGGGCGCCUGGGAAAUAUCCAGUGCGCGUCUCUAUUAUGACCAACCCUAAGUAAGGGCCAUCGGCAGGCUGGAUGUGGCCACUGCCGGCGCAGCUGCUCUCAGAGGCCGGAAGGCAGGGGCCGUCGGCCGCCACCGGGAGGGCGGACGAGGCGGAGAAAUUCAAGCCAUGAUUUCUUCCCCUUUGUUGUGCUGUUUUGGAGCACUGCUAUUCCUACCCAAGGCUGCUUGGGAGUCAUCUGGCGCUCAAGCCGCUCUGUCUUUACCAGGCAGAGGAGAGAAACGAUGCUGAGUAUAUUUCCAGUUCUUUGCAUGUUGGGCUUCUAGCUCCCACACCACCGACUUGUUUCUCCUGCUUUGCCCUGGAUGGAAUUAAAAGAGUGAGGUAGUCAACUUGACUGAACUCAAACUCCAUACUCAAUUUCCCCUGCACUCCGAGCCAUCAUUUAAGAAGUCUGAUCACCCUACUAGAGAGACCACAUGGAGAAAUUGUGAGACGACAUGGAGAGAGAGAGAGAAGCCCGGCUGCACCCAGGGUUCCAGAAAUCCCCACCAAGAUGCCAAGCAUAAAGGAAACCAGAACCAUCUUGGCUCCACCAGAUCAGCCUAGCCGCCAGCUGGAUGCCACUGAGUGACUCCAGUAGAUGCCACAUGGGGCAGAAAAACUGUCCAGUAAGCCUUGCCCAAAUUUCUCACCCACCCAUUCAUGACAAUAAUAAAAUGAUUAUUGUUUUC